rnacentral:miRNA from 1 species
CACUUUUAAGAUCGGUUACCUUGUAACCGAUCUUAAAAGUUGUGUCAGACAUACAUUUUAAGAUCGGUCAUAAAAUAAUCGAUCUUAAAAGUA